rnacentral:lncRNA from 1 species
AUCUUUAGUUCUUGAUCUUAGAAACAAUCUAUACAAAUAGUUUUUUUUCUUGCAGGCAUUUUUCAGUCCAUUUGUCAUCCAUGGAUUGUUAACAGUAUUUUUCCUGAUGUAAGUGUUUAUUUUGGUUAUUUUACAAUUUUUAUCAUAUAAACUAAUUAAUGUCGACAUAAAAGCUUCAUAGGCAGAAUUAACAUUAUCUGUGUAUACUCUAUCCCAGCUCUGUUUCUUCAGAUCUUCUCUGAAGGCCUCUAAAGCCUUACUAGAUUUAUCGCGAAUGAAUGUUGUAGUUUCAUCUUGUAUAAUAUCAUAACAUGUUUUCUCAUAAAUUAUGAAUAUAGGGAGAUGAUCACUCACGUCUGUCAUAAGGAUACCACUAAUUAAUUUACCACGUACAUUUGUAAAUAUAUUGUCAAUGAUGGUUGCACUAUGUGUAGUCACCCUUGUUGGUUUGGUUAUCAUUGGGUAUAGAUCUGUGCUCUUCAUGUAAUUCCUAAAUUCACUUGAUGCUAUAGGGUUUCCCAGAUCUAUAUUGAAGUCACCACACAACAUUAAUGAUUUGUUAUUAAUUUGUUCAAACAUCUCAAGGAUUUUAUCUGUAAAUGAUUCAACACAAGACCCUGGUGCUCUAUACACACAACUGAUCAACAUAUUUUUACCAAUCUCAUUUGUUAUUUCUACAGUAAGCAUUUCCAUCAAAUUUUUCACAGCAAUUGUUUUUUGUUCAAUAAUUUUACAUUUUAGAUGAGAAUCAAUGUAGAGGUAUCAUCUUCCUUUCCCCUGACACUGAUCACUUUCAACCACUGUAGUUUUGUGUUUGGUCAACAGAUGGCGCUGGUGGAUCAGAUGUUAAAUAAACUAUAUGAUCGACUCAAUACAUCAAGAGUUUCCCUCUUUGUCCAAGAUCUGGCUUCUCUUGUCUGUGGAAAAGAACAGUUUGAUCCACACAAAACACUGUGACGGAGCGCUUCCCAGGAACAUGAGUUUCAGAGAUCAGGAGUCUCCUCCGUCACAAGUGGAACCAGAGUUACUCCAAAAAACAUCUAUUUCACCAAGUUUGUAUCUUUUUAUAUUUAUUUAGGUUCUUACAGCUUAUGUGUCUGUAAAAGUCUUCAAAUAUAUUUCAGUAGAAAUAAAGUUUACCUGAUGCCAAAUAGUGUUUUUAUUCUAAUAUCAGUAUGCUUCCUACUAUGUACUCAAAUU